UACAGAGGGUGCAAGCGUUAAUCGGAAUUACUGGGCGUAAAGCGUGCGUAGACGGUUAUGUAAGUUAGGUGUGAAAGCCCCGGGCUCAACCUGGGAAUUGCAUUUAAGACUGCAUAGCUAGGGUGCGGAAGAGGGAAGCGGAAUUUCCGGUGUAGCGGUGAGAUGCGUAGAUAUCGGAAGGAACAUCAGUGGCGAAAGCGGCUUCCUGGUCCAGCACCGACGUUCAGGCACGAAAGCGUGGGGAGCAAACAGG
rnacentral:rRNA from 1 species